UGGGGAAUAUUGGACAAUGGGCGCAAGCCUGAUCCAGCAAUGCCGCGUGGAUGAAGAAGGUCUUCGGAUUGUAAAGUCCUUUCGGCGGGGACGAUGAUGACGGUACCCGCAGAAGAAGCCCCGGCUAACUUCGUGCCAGCAGCCGCGGUAAUACGAAGGGGGCUAGCGUUGCUCGGAAUGACUGGGCGUAAAGGGCGCGUAGGCGGUUUGGUUUGUUAGGUGUGAAAUUCCUGGGCUUAACCUGGGGGCUGCACUUAAUACGGCCAGGCUUGAGUGUGAAAGAGGGUCGUGGAAUUCCCAGUGUAGAGGUGAAAUUCGUAGAUAUUGGGAAGAACACCGGUGGCGAAGGCGGCGACCUGGUUCAUUACUGACGCUGAGGCGCGAAAGCGUGGGGAGCAAACAG
rnacentral:rRNA from 1 species